UACGUAGGGUGCGAGCGUUGUCCGGAAUUAUUGGGCGUAAAGAGCUUGUAGGCGGUUUGUCGCGUCUGCUGUGAAAAUCCGGGGCUCAACCCCGGACUUGCAGUGGGUACGGGCAGACUAGAGUGUGGUAGGGGAGACUGGAAUUCCUGGUGUAGCGGUGAAAUGCGCAGAUAUCAGGAGGAACACCGAUGGCGAAGGCAGCACUCUGGCCGAAUACUGACGCUGAGACGCGAAAGCGUGGGGAGCGAACGGG
rnacentral:rRNA from 1 species